CUCCAAAUAAUGGAUAAAAAUAUUCAAUUGUUUCAAAUUUAUGUCGAAUCGUUGAACCAUUUGUUCUACAAUGUUGCAAAAAUAGAGUACAUUUGAUUGAAUAAGAAUGGCAAUUUUGUCAUCUUUGUUUUCUGCUAAGCCUAUAAGUACUAACAAAUUUUGCACCAUACGCUUCUGCUUGUUCGAGAACUUUGAUACCUAAUUUUCAAAAUCCUUUUGUGUUUCAACAGGUUGGGCAACUGCUGAACUUGUCAUGACAAAAUUGCUGCCGUUAUGGGUUGGCGCUAGAGGUAUUGAAUUUGAUUGGAAAUACAUGCAAAUGAGUUUUGAUGCCAAUAUUGCAUUG
rnacentral:lncRNA from 1 species